GAUGAACGCUGGCGGCGUGCCUAAUACAUGCAAGUCGAGCGAACAGACGAGGAGCUUGCUCCUCUGACGUUAGCGGCGGACGGGUGAGUAACACGUGGAUAACCUACCUAUAAGACUGGGAUAACUUCGGGAAACCGGAGCUAAUACCGGAUAAUAUAUUGAACCGCAUGGUUCAAUAGUGAAAGACGGUUUUGCUGUCACUUAUAGAUGGAUCCGCGCCGCAUUAGCUAGUUGGUAAGGUAACGGCUUACCAAGGCGACGAUGCGUAGCCGACCUGAGAGGGUGAUCGGCCACACUGGAACUGAGACUCGGUCCAGACUCCUACGGGAGGCAGCAGUAGGGAAUCUUCCGCAAUGGGCGAAAGCCUGACGGAGCAACGCCGCGUGAGUGAUGAAGGUCUUCGGAUCGUAAAACUCUGUUAUUAGGGAAGAACAAAUGUGUAAGUAACUAUGCACGUCUUGACGGUACCUAAUCAGAAAGCCACGGCUAACUACGU
rnacentral:rRNA from 1 species